ACGAAAAGACCCUAUAAAUCUUUAUAUUUAGAUUAUUAUAAUUUUAUAGAUUUUUUUUGUUAUAAUAAUCAAUGAUAUUUUAUUGGGGUGAUAUUAAAAUUUAAUAAACUUUUAAUUGUUAAAAUCAUUAAUUUAUGAAUAAUUGAUCCGUUAUUAGCGAUUAAAAAAAUAAGUUACUUUAGGGAUAACAGCGUAAUUUUUUUGGAGAGUUCAUAUCGAAAAAAAGAUUGCGACCUCGAUGUUGGAUUAA
rnacentral:rRNA from 1 species